GUAUUCCCGUCCGAUGGAAAUCCCGAAAGUUGCCUCUUCUAGCGCUUUUAAAUUCCCCAGUGCCCUUGUGUCGGACUCGUCCCAACACUGUUCUUUUCCGUCUUUUCACCUCAAAACUCAUGCCCUUUUUCGUCUUUUCACCAUAACCCCUCUUCCCUUCCCUUCCCCUCCCUCUCCCUGUAUUUCUCUGUCCCUUCCCUCCGCUUCCUCUCUCCUCGAGCUCUGAAUUUCUUCCCUCUCUCUCUCUAGAAUUUUGUUUUCUUCGAAGCGGCGGGACAGAGACACAGAGGAGAGCCGUUCAUCGAUCUCGAGUUUUCACUAGGCGUGUUUCUGAGCUACGAAGAGCGAGGCGCUUCGAGGAAAGUGAAGGGUCUGCGCCAUUGGAGUAACUCAUUCGGUUUCUUCAUGAGCUGAAGACUUAGCGGGUCGCCGAGGUCUAGCUCCUUAGGGGUAUUUCUCACGGCGUCUUGUAUAGUCCCGUUUUUUCCUUGAGAUUUACGUUGGGCGAUGACUGGUUGACUGACUGGACUCGCCGCGGUUUCUUGGGCGAUUCAUCGAGACGGUGAAUUGGACAUCUUCAAUCAUUCCUGCCAUUUUCCUGCUCCAAGAUGGAUUCUGUUAAAUCCUCUACUCUCACUCCAAGUAAGAGUAAAUUGGCACGCACUAUUACCAAAGUUCUUCAUAUUCGAGCUUUAACUGGGAUAGCACCUGUUCACGGAAUUCAUAAAGUUAAGCCACAAGAUAAGAUCAGUGAUGACUGCACAGCAAGUAAGAGUACAGGUAGUCAAUCUGAGUCUUUUGAUAGUGGUGAAGAAGAGUUCCAGAAUAGAGUCCAAUUGCAAGCAUUGCUGGCAAAAUUGUUUGCAAGCAUCUCAUCAGUCAAAGCUGCAUAUGCCCAGUUACAGUAUUCUCAAUCUCCUUAUGAUGCGGAAGGUAUUCAAGAUGCUGAUCACUAUGUUGUCUCAGAAUUGAAAGCUUUGUCUGAAUUGAAGCAGUGUUACCUUAAAAGACAGUUCGAUCCUUCACCAGAGACCACAAUGCUCUUGGCUGAAAUUCAGGAGCAAAAGAGUCUUGUGGGAACAUAUGACAUAAUGGGGAAAAGAUUGGAAUCGCAAGCAAGAUUGAAGGGCUCUGAAAUUACGUUUCUUAGAGAGAAGAUCGAGGAAAUUAAAAAACAGAAUAGGUUACUUGAGAAAAGUUUAAAUCAAAGUGGAUCAAUUUCUGUCCCUGGUGAUAUUCACUUAUCAGGAGUAAAUGCGAGCCAUUUCAUUAAAGUUCUUGGGCAUACAGUGAAGUCCGUUCGGAGUUUUGUCCGGAUGAUGGUGGAUGAAAUGAAAUCUGCUGGUUGGGAUGUUAAUGCAGCUGCAAUGGAAAUUGAACCAGAUGCUGUUUAUUGGAACGAUGAUCAUAGAUGCUUUGCAUUCGAAACAUUUGUUUUCAGGGAAAUGUUUGAUUCCUUCCACAAACUCAAUUUUUCUCUUCCAAAUGAAUCCUUGCCCGAAAAAAGGAAACAGAAACAGUUUUUCUUUGCAAGAUUUAUGGAGCUGAAGCUCAGAAAAGCCAAGGAUUUUCUCUCACAAAAUCCUAGAUCGACAUUUGCCAAGUUUUGUCGGGUUAAGUUCUUGCGGCUCAUUCACCCCAAAAUGGAAUCAUCACUAUUUGGUAAUUUGGACCAGAGAAGCCUUAUAAGCUCCGGUCAAUUCCCAGAUACCACUUUCUUUGGCACGUUUGCAGAGAUGGCAAGGUGGGUGUGGCUCCUACAUUCAUUAGCUUAUUCCAUUGAGCCGGAGGCCUCCAUUUUUCAAGUGCGUAAAGGUUGUCGAUUCUCAGAGGUCUACAUGGAAAGCGUCAUUGAUGAGGUGUACCUUUCACCAGAUUCGGACCCAGUUGUAGCAUUCACUGUCAUCCCUGGCUUCAUGAUUGGUAAAACUGCAAUCCAGUGCCGGGUCUAUCUCUCACAAUGAUCAUUUCUUUAUGGGAACAACAGUAUAUUAACUUUUACCAAAGACCACAGGUUGCACAGGCACCAACCAAUAAUUCAUAGUAUUGGCGUUGGCCCCUUCAUCAGCUCAAAGAUCAAGCUCAGCCAUGAUAUAACAAUUUAUUAUACCUCGAUUUAACAAAAAUGGCCAAGUUGAUGCUGCGCAUAUUGUGACGGAGUGGCAAGCAAACAUCCUACCUAGACAGGCAAUCAGACGAAUGAUACUGCUGCUGCUGGUUUUUAAUAGGGGUCGGUGAUGUUGGGCCAUGUGACUGGCUAAGCCUUUGCACAUUCUUUGUUUUCUAUGCAAAAAGGAAAGAAGAAGGCAUUGUUUGUGAAGAAGGGGUACGCACCGUUUGGCUCUUUCUUCUCUUUAUAUUUAAUGUGGAAAUGUUUGAUUUAGUGUCCAGUCCAAUUGGUGUAAGCUUCUCGAGCUUUGAAAAGAGGGAAAAUCUCAUGUUGGGACACUUUUUUCACUGUGGAAUUCUUAUAUGUAGAGCCAUAAAUUAUAAAAUUUAAUCUGAAAACAAUGUUUUUUUCUUUUGAGUAAAACAAUCUGGAAAGAUGGGAGAUCAAAUCUCCGAUCUCGAAAGGAA